UACGUAGGGUGCAAGCGUUGUCCGGAAUUAUUGGGCGUAAAGAGCUCGUAGGCGGUUUGUUGCGUCGGCUGUGAAAUCCCGAGGCUCAACCUCGGGUCUGCAGUCGAUACGAGCAAACUAGAGUACUGCAGGGGAGACUGGAAUUCCUGGUGUAGCGGUGGAAUGCGCAGAUAUCAGGAGGAACACCGGUGGCGAAGGCGGGGUCUCUGGGCAGUAACUGACGCUGAGGAGCGAAAGCGUGGGGAGCGAACAGG
rnacentral:rRNA from 1 species